rnacentral:rRNA from 1 species
AGUGAACGCUGGCGGUAGGCCUAACACAUGCAAGUCGAACGGCAGCACAGUAAGAGCUUGCUCUUACGGGUUGCGAGUGGCGGACGGGUGAGGAAUACAUCGGAAUCUACUUUUUCGUGGGGGAUAACGUAGGGAAACUUACGCUAAUACCGCAUACGACCUACGGGUGAAAGCAGGGGAUCUUCUGACCUUGCGCGAUUGAAUGAGCCGAUGUCGGAUUAGCUGGUUGGCGGGGUAAAUGCCCACCAAGUCGACGAUCCGUAGCUGGUCUGAGAGGAUGAUAAGCCACACUGGAACUGAGACACGGUCCAGACUCCUACGGGAGGCAGCAGUGGGGAAUAUUGGACAAUGGGCGGAAGCAUGAUCCAGCCAUACCGCGUGGGUGAAGAAGGCCUUCGGGUUGUAAAGCCCUUUUGUUGGGAAAGAAAAGCAGCAGGUUAAUACCCCGCUGUUCUGACGGUACCCAAAGAAUAAGCACCGGCUAACUUCGUG